rnacentral:rRNA from 1 species
CAGCAGCCACGGUAAUACGAAGGGGGCUAGCGUUGCUCGGAAUGACUGGGCGUAAAGGGCGCGUAGGCGGAAUGCUUUGUAGGGCGUGAAAUUCCAGGGCUUAACCUUGGGGCUGCGUUCGAGACGGGUAUUCUAGAGUGGAGAAGAGGGUCGUGGAAUUCCCAGUGUAGAGGUGAAAUUCGUAGAUAUUGGGAAGAACACCGGUGGCGAAGGCGGCGACCUGGUCUUUUACUGACGCUGAGGCGCGAAAGCGUGGGGAGCAAACAGGAUUAGAGACCCCGGUAGUCCCUGUCUCUUAUAC